rnacentral:rRNA from 1 species
CGAACGCUGGCGGCGUGGAUUAGGCAUGCAAGUCGAACGAUCCCUUUCUUCGGAGGGGGAUAGUGGCAAACGGGUGAGGAACACGUGGGUAAUUUUCCUUCGGGUCCGGGACAACUUGUCGAAAGACGGGCUAAUACCGGAUAAGACCACAGCUUCCAAGAAGCUGCGGUUAAAGGUGGGGCUCCUGAAAAUGGACCUGUCGCCCUUAGAUAAGCCCGCGUCCUAUCAGCUUGUUGGGGAGGUAACGGCUCACCAAGGCGAAGACGGGUAGCUGGUCUGAGAGGAUGGUCAGCCACACUGGGACUGAGACACUGCCCAGAUUCCUACGGGAGGCUGCAGUCGAGAAUCUUUUGCAAUGCCCGAAAGGGUGACAAUGCGACGCCGCGUGAGCGAUGAAGGCCUUCGGGUUGUAAAGCUCUUUCAGCAGGGAUGAAUGCAGGGAGGUUAAUAACCUUUCUGUUUGACGGUACCUGCAGAAGAAGCCACGGCUAACUCC